rnacentral:rRNA from 1 species
AGUGAACGCUGGCGGUAGGCCUAACACAUGCAAGUCGAACGGCAGCACAGUAAGGGCUUGCUCUUACGGGUGGCGAGUGGCGGACGGGUGAGGAAUACAUCGGAAUCUACUUUUUCGUGGGGGAUAACGUAGGGAAACUUACGCUAAUACCGCAUACGACCUACGGGUGAAAGCAGGGGAUCUUCGGACCUUGCGCGAUUGAAUGAGCCGACGUCGGAUUAGCUAGUUGGCGGGGUAAAGGCCCACCAAGGCGACGAUCCGUAGCUGGUCUGAGAGGAUGAUCAGCCACACUGGAACUGAGACACGGUCCAGACUCCUACGGGAGGCAGCAGUGGGGAAUAUUGGACAAUGGGCGCAAGCCUGAUCCAGCCAUACCGCGUGGGUGAAGAAGGCCUUCGGGUUGUAAAGCCCUUUUGUUGGGAAAGAAAAGCAGCAGGUUAAUACCCCGCUGUUCUGACGGUACCCAAAGAAUAAGCACCGGCUAACUUCGUG